rnacentral:misc_RNA from 1 species
GAUGAAGAACGUAGCGAAAUGCGAUAAGUAAUGUGAAUUGCAGAAUUCAGUGAAUCAUCGAAUCUUUGAACGCACCUUGCGCUCCUUGGUAUUCCGAGGAGCAUGCCUGUUCGAGCGUCAUUACAACCCUCAAGCUCUGCUUGGUAUUGGGCCCCGCCAGUUCUGGCGGGCCCUAAAGUCAGUGGCGGUGCCUUCCGGCUCCGAGCGUAGUAAUUCUUCUCGCUCUGGAGACCCGGUUGUGUGCUUACCAACAACCCCCAAUUUUUUAAGGUUGACCUCGGAUCAGGUAGGGAUACCCGCUGAACUUAAGCAUAUCAAUAAGCGGAGGA